rnacentral:lncRNA from 1 species
UACAAAAUAAGCAUAGGAUUAUUUUAUUCACCAAAGUAUUGUUAAUUAGCAGAGCUCAAUUCUUUGGUGUCAGUUUAUCAAAUUUACCUUCUAGGUUUUGAGUUUAUUAUUAAGAACCUGCGUAGACUUAUUUUAUUUUUUAAUGCAUAGGAUCUUUUGCCAGAAAUGAGGGCAUACUGGCCUGACGUAAUUCACUCGUUUCCCAAUCGCAGCCGCUUCUGGAAGCAUGAGUGGGAAAAGCAUGGGACCUGCGCCGCCCAGGUGGAUGCGCUCAACUCCCAGAAGAAGUACUUUGGCAGAAGCCUGGAACUCUACAGGGAGCUGGACCUCAACAGUGUGCUUCUAAAAUUGGGGAUAAAACCAUCCAUCAAUUACUACCAAGUAAGUCUUGCUUUUGCUUCUUUUCUCGUGUGUCUCUCCCGGGGACCUCCAG